GAUGAACGCUGGCGGCGUGCCUAAUACAUGCAAGUCGAGCGAACGGACGAGAAGCUUGCUCCUCUGAUGUUAGCGGCGGACGGGUGAGUAACACGUGGAUAACCCACCUAUAAGACUGGGAUAACUCCGGGAAACCGGAGCUAAUACCGGAUAAUAUUUUGAACCGCAUGGUGCAAAAGUGAAAUACGGUCUUGCUGUCACUCAUUGAUGGAUCCGCGCUGGAUUAGCUAGUUGGUAUGGUAACGGCUUACCAAGGCGACGAUGAGUAGCUGCGCUGAGAGGAUGAUCGGCCACACUGGGACUGAGACACGGUCCAGACUCCUACGGGAGGCAGCAGUGGGGAAUCUUGGACAAUGGGCGAAAGCCUGACCGAGCAACGCCGCGUGAGUGAUGAAGGUCUUCGGGUCGUAAAGCUCUGUUAUUAGGGAAGAACAUAUGUAUAAGUAACUGUGCGGGUCAUGACGGUACCGGAUGAGAAAGCCACGGCUAACUACGUG
rnacentral:rRNA from 1 species